CGCGUAGGCGGGUAAGAAAGUCAGAUGUGAAAUUCCGGAGCUUAACUUCGGAGCUGCAUUUGAAACUUCAUAUCUUGAGGGUAGGCGGAGAAAACGGAAUUCCACAAGUAGCGGUGAAAUGCGUAGAUAUGUGGAAGAACACCGGUGGCGAAGGCGGUUUUCUAGCUUAUACCUGACGCUGAGGCGCGAAAGCAAGGGGAGCAAACA
rnacentral:rRNA from 1 species